rnacentral:lncRNA from 1 species
UGAGAAUAGCUUAUUUGAGUCACCAUCUAUAGCUGAACAUCUUUAGAGAUUUUGGCUGGGUUCAAUCUACUUAAACUUAACUUCCAGAUCUGCAUCACAAAGAAUUCUUUUUAACAGUACUGAAAGGCAGAUUAAAAGAGAGAGAGAGAGAGAGAGAGAGAGAGAGAGAGAGAGCACAACUGGGUUUGGAGUGGAAAUGCAUCAAAGCAUAAAUAAUCUGCUUUUCUGUGUAAAAUGAGCAAUGGAAAUUUUUCAGCAUCCAUUUAUUUGGGAAAAAUAUACCUUUUUUUUCUUUUAAUCCUCAGAAUUUACUCGAUUCUUGGCAGAACAUGAAGCCUCGGUCUACCUCAUUAUACCUUCCAGUGGCUGCAGCUGUUUUUUUGCGCUUGUUCACUUUCUACAAGAGUUUCAAGUUGUGGACAGUCUUUCUCAAUGCCACACAGUCAAUGUCCUGAUUUUUUCACCAAUAUCAUUGUGAUAAAUAGAAGAUGGUUAAUUGCAUCCAUUCUAGGCCAGUCAGUAGGAAGAAAUAAGUUUCAGCAAAUCAUAAAACUGCUUGCACUACAGACAUCAUGUCACCUGGGAGCUGUAGUUCACCACCUCCAUCAUUUCUUGCUGACAUGCUUGACAAAGAGCAAAGUAUUCUGAAGUUCCAUCCAAGUUUCCUGCCAAGCUAAUUUGUUUGAUGACUACUGGGAGUAACCACGUGUGCAUCAUGAAACAUCUCAACAAACCUGUAACAUCUAUGUACAGUUAUACUGACUUAACUUGAAAUGAAGCUUUCUAGGUAGUUUCAAAAAGCUGAAUCUCUAGUAUUUUUUUAACUGUCUGUAACCAAACUGCUUUGAUUUUAUAUAAAACAUCCCAGGACAAUCUACUGAUAUUUUCAACUAAAUAGUUUUUACAAUCUGUGAUCCUUGACAUGUCAUGAACUUUAGUUCUCCAAGCAUAUGUUUCUAGGAGAAAGACAAAACUAAUAUUAUAGUCUGCUUGUUAGAAAAUGUAAUUCAAAACAAUACAAAUCAAA